rnacentral:rRNA from 1 species
AAUCAACGCUGGCGGCGUGCCUAACACAUGCAAGUCGCGCGCGAAAGGGGGGCAACUCCCGAGUAAAGCGGCGAACGGGUGAGUAACACGUGGGUAAUCUACCUUCGAGUGGGGAACAACACCGGGAACUGUGCUAAUUCCGCAUGACAUCGUCGGGGCUUCGGUUCUGACGCCCAAAGCUGGGGAUCGCAAGACCUAGCGCUUGAAGAUGAGCCCGCGUCCGAUUAGCUAGNGGCGGGGUAAUGGCCCACCAAGGCUUCGAUCGGUAGCCGGCCUGAGAGGGGCGGACGGCCACACUGGAACUGAGACACGGGUCCAGACU